CCUCGGGCCGUCCCAAACCUCCGUAAUUCCCGUCUAGUUUCCGCUCUGCCUCUGACUCCCCGGCACCCUGGACAGAUCCCGGGCCUCCAAUUCCCUCCCAGCUCCCUGCCUCCCCGCUUCCCGGGGCGGUGAGCGCUCGCCGGCAGGAGCGUGUGAAAGCCCCCCCCCGCCCCCCGAGCUUGUCUGAGGCCCACAGGGUACCCCUCUGGCUAGUACUGCCGCCGGGACCCCGCUGGUUGCAGGGACCAGCCCUUCCCAAACUCUGCUGGUGCACGUGGGAUGAAAGGGUGCGGGAUUCCCAAACAGACUGAUGCCACACUCCUCGGUGAUCUCUGAGAGGUCUUCAUCCUCAAACUCCUCCAAGCUGAUGUCAUGGUGAGGCAGGAUGGCACGAGUUGCGGGUUCAAAUCCUGACUCCUUCACUGAGGAGGAGCGGCCUCUCCAUCUCCUAAGCAGCUGCCUCGCCCCGGCCGCCAACCUCUCCAUGCUCUGCAUCUCCUUCAAUCCUCACUACAAUCUGGCGAGACGGUCUUGUUUUGCCCAUUUUCCAGAUGAGGAACCCUAAGGCUCAGACGGCAGCUGCCAUGGGCCCACCUGUGCCCCGAGACUGGAGCCCUGAGCACCGGGAGGCCACCUCAAGCUGAGUCACGCCGCCUGUGCAGGUCGGCAUCCCUGACCUCCAGAUCGGGAGGCCUCAGCGGCUUCGCCUUCAGAGGCAGCCUGUCCGUCCGUCAGACCUGCCUGCCCGCUCGGGUCUCAUCCGUGUUAACAUUUGGUGGCUCUGUGUCGUGUGUCUACUCUCCUGAGACCUCCCUCACCUUUGGGGUCUAUUUGAGACCCCCUCUCCCUGCAUGAACCUUCGGGAGCCCCAGUCCUUCCUUCUGGCCAGGCUGGCUCCUCCCGGCGCUCUGAACACGCUGCCCCCGCCCACCGCCCCGUGCUCCCCACCUCUUCCUGCCACGAGCUCUCCAAAAUAAAUACGCCUUCAUGCUC